rfam:Triticum aestivum genome assembly, contig: Triticum_aestivum_CS42_TGACv1_scaffold_578441_7BL
UAUAUAUUACCUCCAUCCCAAAAAGCUUAUCUUAGAUUUAUCUAGAUACGGAUGUAUAUAUCACAAAAAUGUGUCUAGAUACAUCUGUAUUUAGACAAAUCUAAGACAAGCUUUUUUUGGACAGAGGAAGUAGGUU